rnacentral:rRNA from 1 species
UAAUACGUAGGGGGCGAGCGUUGUCCGGAAUUAUUGGGCGUAAAGAGCGUGUAGGCGGUUCGGUAAGUCUGCUGUGAAAUCCUGGGGCUCAACCCUGGGCGUGCAGCGGAUACUGCCGGGCUAGAGGAUGGUAGAGGCGAGUGGAAUUCCCGGUGUAGCGGUGAAAUGCGCAGAUAUCGGGAGGAACACCAGUAGCGAAGGCGGCUCGCUGGGCCAUUCCUGACGCUGAGACGCGAAAGCAUGGGGAGCGAACAGGAUUAGAUACCCUGGUAGUCCAUGCCGUAAACGAUGAACACUAGGUGUGGGCGGAGUCGAAUCUGUCUGUGCCGAAGCCAACGCUUUAAGUGUUCCGCCUGGGGAGUACGGCCGCAAGGCU